rnacentral:lncRNA from 1 species
GGAUUAAUGGGCACGUUAGGAUAGAAAUGCUUCACCUCCGAGGUCCACUUUUCUCGGAUGUUUUCUAAACUAUCAGAUAUCUUUAUGGAAAAAUACUUAAGUAUAACAUCGAUAUCUGGGUAAGAGUGAGGGGAUUAUAAUCGGUUUGACCAGCUGUGUCUCACAAAGCCAAUUCCACCUAUUUUCCAUGCAUUUCAAUAUCUGAGACGUGAUUUUCAAACACUGUGGGCAAAUAAACUUCAGGGACUUGGUCUUUGCUAAAUACAAUUAAUAAGCAUGUGUGACCACAAGCACCAUCACACACUGUAACCAACUUUUGCUAGAUGGUGGACGUAACUCAAGUGGUUCUGGAGUCCCUCCGCCCCGGACAAGGUGCUCUGCAAACUGCGACCCAGGCAGUUUCCACGCUAGAAAUCAGCCGGCAGGUGGGGAGUGGAAGUGCGGAUGGGCAGCUGUGCCCUUGGGCAGAUGUGCGGGGCGACUGGAGCCCUAUUUUAUUUCUUAAUAUCUCUCCUCUGGGUUUUAAGCUGUCAGUAUUGAUCCAUUUGGAAGGUUACAGAGCCUGGCACCUCUAACUCCUUCUUCUGGAACUUCAGCAAUGACAUAAUCUUUCCUAGCUCACUCUUUGAGAUUUAAACAGGAGAGCAUCUGUCAGUCUCAGCCUCUUAUCCUGCCAUAUUCUCCUUUUUUCCUUUUUAGAACUCUGAGGCUUACCAUUCCCAGUAUGCAGAUUUCAGAAGCUGCCAGGAAACUAUGCUGGACAGAAAAAUUAAUCAGAUACACUCAAGGAAUUGAAGGAAAGCAGCCACCCAUCUAGGUAACCACCCCCACAGAAAAGAAUGAUAUGCUCGUGAUCUUUUACCUUCAUUGGAUAUUGUAUUUGGUUUUAGUGAGUCUGGAUUUCUAUUUACUUUCCCUUCUCCAUCCCAGUUUACUAGCAUGAACUGACUCCCAGGGCAGGCACCUCCACCUACUUUCAUGAUACAAAUUUUUUUUUUUAAUCACUCUACAAUGAUUUCCUUAUUUAUUACUUUCCCUUCUCCACCACUUAGCACCGUAUCUAAAAAUAUAGUAAGAACUUUUAUUGAUUGAUUUAUUCAACCUUCCCAUUAACAAAGGAAAACAUUCAUGGCAUUGGGAAUCCCAGGAUCAAUUGAUUAAGAACUGGAAGAGACCUUAGAAGAAAGCAAACCAGUCAAAGCAAAACUAACGCACAGAGCAACCACAUCUGUGAGCACAUUCAACUGAAAGCCCUGUCUAAAGGCCAUUGCUAUGGGAGUCUCUACUUCUUAAUGGAGAUGAAUGGGAAGUUGUCUUGAGAAGCAAGAGAGCUCCAAUCUUUGCUGGUCUUCUGUCAUACUCAAGUUUUGAAUCCCCUUUGAAGACUCAAGUUGAAUCUUCUCAACUCAAUUUCUUCUCAGCUCUUUAAACAUUUGAAAGAUUCUAGCUUCCAGAUUCAAGAGAGAGGAUGGAAGAGAUCUAUCUCAUUUUUUGGAAGACGUAAGAGGAGCAGGUGGUCUCAGUCUCCCUCAUGCCCAACUUGUUCCUCUAAAGUUCAGGGAGUUUCUGCUUGGGUGAGAUGUAGGACACUCUGUUGAACUGAGUUACCUCACUCACUCCCAAUGGGAGAAUUCCUUCACUAUCUGGUAUAUAUUCUUCUAUGUAUACUUUCUCUGAUUUCUGUUUUUGCUAUGAUUGGGGAGGAAGGGGAUGGCUUUCUUUAUUUACUAUUGUGUGUUCAUUUAUAGAACCAGUAUUCGUGGAAAAGGGAUCCAGCUUUAAAUAUAGAGCUGAAGGUCCUCCGUCCCCUCAAAAUGACAAAAUGAUCAGAAGUUAGAUGGAGCCUGAACAUAUCCCCCAGACUAAGAAUAUUUAAGGGACAAGAUAGAUACAAUUCUAUCCUUGUUCUCUCUCUCUGUCUGUGUCUGCCUGUCUCUCUCUGUCUGUCUCUUUCUGUGUCGCUCCCUUUUUCUCUCUCCUUUUUUCUGUCUCUCCCCACCUUUUCUUUCCUUCCUUCCUUCCUUCCUUUCCUUCCUUCCUUCCUUCCUUCCUUCCUUCCUUCCUUCCUUCCUUCCCUCCUUCUUCCUUCCUUCCUUCCUUCCUUCCUUCCUUCCUUCCUUCCUUCCUUCCUUCCUUCCUUCCUUCCCUCCCUCCUUCCUUCUUACUCUUUAUCCUUUCUCCCUCUCCUUCCCUUUCUCUCUUUUUCUCUGUCUCUUUCUGGAGAGCAGAGAGGCAUCUGAUCUUAACCUCCUGCUUCUUCUCUUCACUAGAAUUAAAGUCUCCUUUAGUGUAUGGUAGGUGGAGGGUAGGAGAGAUGGGGUGUGGGAUGGAAGGGCUAGAGAUGCCUAUUCUGCCUCCCUUUGAGUCAUAUAAGGAUAUAAGGACAGCUCUUACCACAGGUAGGCCCCUCUCUAUAUAGGGGCCUCACUUUUUGUUAUCCAAUAUUUCACACCUCUUCUCUAACCUCCCCUCAACUAAGAAAAGAAAAGGAUUUCAUCUGCCUUUUAGUUGUUGAUAGUUUUUGUUUCUCCUUUGAAAAAUGGUUUAUAUCCUUUGCUCAGUUAUCUAAUGGGAAUGGACCUAGGUCUUAAAUAUUUGUAUGUAUUUAAAAAUUAAAAAAAAAUGACAUUUUUUUCAGCUUUAAUUAUUUCUAGAUAUGCAUCUCUCCAUGAAACAAGAAUUUAAACCCUCCUUGUGACAAAGAAAAGCAAAUAAACACAAAUAACUCCUCUGACAAUGCCUGAAGCAUUCUGCUGAGAAUUAUCUGUUCUUUGGGACCAUUAGUGGCUUUUCAAUUAUUCAGAGUUUGGCUUCCUUUUAAUGAUCUUUUCAUUUACAUGGUUCUAAUCAUUGUAUAUGUAUCAUUCUAGAGUGUGUGUAUUGUUCUUGUAAAAUGUGUAUAUUCAUGUAGUUGUCUAAAUGUGCUCACUGAGGAAUCAGGCAUAAACAUUGUGCCUGCCCCUCUCCAAGGAAACCUUUGAUUACCAAAUGGAGGGGAGCAGAAAAAGCUACAAGACAGGAUGAUGUGUUCUUCCCUGAAAAGGUGUGAUAAUAAUAAUAACAAUAGCUAACAUUUAUAUAGUUCUUACUAUGUACCAAGCACAUGGUCAUCUUUGAGAAUCUUUGACAUUUUUCAGAAUAUGAGAUGAAAUCUCAGAGAUAUUAAUAUAUUUUUUCUUAUUGAUUCAGAUCAUGUUUUCAUAUAGAUUGAAAUUAAUUUAUGCCUCCAAGGGCCCUUUAAAGGCUGAGUUGCUAGCUUUAUAGGGAAUUUUGUCAAGAGGCAGCAGAAAAGGAAGACUACCACAUAGUAGUGUUUGUUUUCUGAAAUGGAAUGGCUUUUGUGGGAAAAAAAAAGGGGGGGUUUCCUUCUUCCCCCACCCUAUUGGUUAGUGUAAGCAAUCCUUUUUCAAGCAAUUAGAGAGUGCAUUGAGAGACUCCAAGGCAUAGUUUCAGAAGCAGAGACACACAUACUCUUCAAACAGACUUGGAUAAUGAGAAGUGGUCAAUGAAGAGAUAGUGUUUAAGCAAAUCCAAGAGUGGGACCUCUGGCAGCAAAGAAAAGAGCCAGCUACGAAUUCAAAUGGGACUUUAGCCUGGCAAUUAAAAAUUGAACUGCAGAGGGGAUUUCUAGGAGCUGACUUAGCAGAAAUUCAGCCAGGAGAAAAAUUGCAUCCAAGUGGAAGCUUUUUUUUUUUUUUUUCCUAAUUUUAAUAGCUUUUUAUUUACAAGUAUGCAUGGGUAAUUUUACAGCAUUGACAAUUGCCAAACAAGGGGAUGCUUUGUUAAGACAGAAUGAGAAAGGAAAAAAAAGUACCUCAAAGCCCUGCAACUCAUAAAUUAAGCUGUCUUGGCAGCAUGGGAUUUACUGACAUUGCACUUGUUUUAAGUCCAUUCUUCCUACAGAUUCUGUGUGUAGUUGUAGGAGAAUGUCUUCUACAUUUAGUUAAGGGAAAUUUUCUUUAGCUAUUCUUAGUUUGCCAUCUUCAUAACUGUCUUUGCUAAGAGCUAAUUCUGUAUGUUGGCUGUUGAUUAUGGAGAAAGUAUAAUGGAGAUAGAUCUUGAGCGAUAGUUUUUAGAAGUACAGUCCCACAAAGGAUAUCCUAGAACUUGAGAUAGCCACUGUCCUCUACUGGGGAUCCAGUAUGAGACUCAGAGUGUGAAGUGGAAUGGGGGAGAGAAGAAAUAGACCUGAAGAUAAUAUUACAUAUAAAAUGGUGGAAUUGGACUAGAAUAUUUCUACGGUAUCUUAAUAAUUCUAAAUCUGAAAAUUUAGCCUCUUGUAUCUUACUCCAGAGCUACAUUUUCCAUUCUCCCCCCACCCCCAUUUAUAUAGUAACUCCUGAGAAGAAAUUAUUUGCUUUGUUUACUUAUAUUCACAUCUACUAUUAUUUUUAUUUACUUCCAUUUUGUUUACUUUCCCUAUCCUUAACAUUAAGGACAGAAGAUUUAGGGGGGUGAAGUAAUGGAUGAGGAAAACUGGAAAGAGAUGUUUUGCAUGAAAUCUGAGACCUCAAUUUAUCUUUUACUGGUGCAUUUCAGCCCUAACUCAGGGAGUGAAAAGAAUGCUUUUAAAUUAUUGAUAUCUUCUGGUUUUUUAUAUUAUUUAAUUAUUGAUAUCUUUUAUUUUUAUAUUAUCUUUAUUCUCCCAUUCCUUAGACAGAAAGUCAUCCAUUAUAACAAAUAAAGAGGGAAAAAAAGUAUCACAGUCAAACAAAUCAAUUCAUUUAUAUCAAUCAAGUCCAAAUUCUUCUUCUGCAAAAAAGGAUGGAGUUAUAUUUUUCAUGUCAAGCUUGGUUAUUAUCAUUACACUUCAUUUAGUCUUUAUUUUGUUGUUAUUCUUUUCAUUUAUAUUAUUGUAGUUGUAGAGACAUCUCCACUCCAAGUGGUCAUGUGGACUGG